GAUGAACGCUGGCGGCGUGCCUAAUACAUGCAAGUCGAGCGAACGGACGAGAAGCUUGCUUCUCUGAUGUUAGCGGCGGACGGGUGAGUAACACGUGGAUAACCUACCUAUAAGACUGGGAUAACUUCGGGAAACCGGAGCUAAUACCGGAUAAUAUUUUGAACCGCAUGGUUCAAAAGUGAAAGACGAUCUUGCUGUCACUUAUAGAUGGAUCCGCGCUGCAUUAGCUAGUUGGUAAGGUAACGGCUUACCAAGGCAACGAUGCAUAGCCGACCUGAGAGGGUGAUCGGCCACACUGGAACUGAGACACGGUCCAGACUCCUACGGGAGGCAGCAGUAGGGAAGCUUCCGCAAUGGGCGAAAGCCUGACGGAGCAACGCCGCGUGAGUGAUGAAGGUCUUCGGAUCGUAAAACUCUGUUAUUAGGGAAGAACAUAUGUGUAAGUAACUGUGCACAUCUUGACGGUACCUAAUCAGAAAGCCACGGCUAACUACGUG
rnacentral:rRNA from 1 species